CCCUUAGAUGUUCUGGGCCGCACGCGCGCUACACUGAUGCAUUCAACAAGCCUAGCCUUGACCGAGAGGUCCGGGUAAUCUUUGAAACUGCAUCGUGAUGUGGCUAGAUUAUUGCAAUUAUUAAUCUUCAACGAGGAAUGCCUAGUAAGCGUGAUUCAUCAAAUCGCGUUGAUUACGUCCCUGCCCUUUGUACACACCGCCCGUCGCUCCUACCGAUUGAAUGUGUUGGUGAGGAGCUCGGAUUGGCAGCAGUUGGUGGUUCGCCACCGGCUAUUGCUGAGAAGUCCUCCAAACCGCCCCAUUUAGAGGAAGGAGAAGUCGUAACA
rnacentral:rRNA from 1 species